CGAACGGGUGAGUAACAUAGUCGGAACGUGCCCAGUAAAUGGGGGAUAGCCCGGCGAAAGCCGGAUUAAUACCGCAUACGACCUACGGGUGAAGCGGGGACCUGCAAGGGCCUCGCGUUAUUGGAGCGGCCGAUACCAGAUUAGCUAGUUGGUGGGGUAAAAGCCUACCAAGGCGACGAUCUGUAGCUGGUCUGAGAGGACGACCAGCCACACUGGGACUGAGACACGGCCCAG
rnacentral:rRNA from 1 species